CCACCUGUGACACACGACCUGAGGAGAGAAUGGCGUCAGUGGUCACUUCAGGGUUUGAAGACCCCAAGCUUAGGACUCGAAGUUCUACUAGUUCCCACCCUGGAAAUCUCCACCUUAGAAAACUCUGCCCCCAAGAAACCCUGUAUGAGCCUGCCUCCUGCUCAGUCCGCUGGUGCUUCUCCUCUGAGCAGAGGCAGCCACCAUCUGUGUCUUUCCUGAUAAAUCUCUUGAGUGAGGAUUGUUGGGCCGUGUGACUUUGUGGUAUUCCUUGGCUCCUGACUGCCAGGGUACCUUUUCCCUCAGAGCUGCAACACUUCCAUUGGGAACACCUUUCCCCUCAGAGCUGCCAGAAGAGGGCGCCAGAUCUCAUUGCAGAUGGUUGUGAGCCACUAUGUGGUUGCUGGGAAUUGAACUCAGGACCUCUUGGAAGAGCAGCCAGUGCUCUUAACCUCUGAGCCAUCUAUCCAGCCUGGAACAGUAAGUUUUAAGGGAAGCUCUUUCAUCAGGAAGGUAAACAACUCAAAAUGGCUUCUGGAAGUCUCUGAAACUGACCAGAUGCACUAGGCCCCUCCCUGUCAGAGUAAGCAAUAAAAGCGGAGAGUCCCUCUCAGAGAAUCCAAGUUGAGCUACCAAGACUCUCGGAGGAGAAACGUUGCAAAGAAGACUAGACCAAAGACAGCUGGAAGAAGCAGAAACCAGCUGAGCCGCCUGGAAGAGGUUUAGCCCAACUGAGGCACCUGGAAAGGACACUCUCCAACCCGUUGAGCUGUCUACAAACUGUAUGCUUCAGGUUUCUACCUUUUGUGAGCUGUCACCCCUGCUGAGGUGGCCCUUUGUGAUGCAGCUGUUUUUGAAGUCAUUUCUGCUCCUGUAAGUAACCCCAAUAAAACUCAUGGUUCACAAGCUGAA